UUCCGGUUGAUCCUGCCAGAGGUCACUGCUAUCGAGGUUCGACUAAGCCAUGCGAGUCGAAUGUAGCAAUACAUGGCGUACUGCUCAGUAACACGUGGACAACCUGCCCUUAGGACGGGUAUAAACCCGGGAAACUGGGUAUAAUUCCCGAUAGGUCUCGUCUGCUGGAAUGCAUCGAGAUCCAAAGCUCCGGCGCCUAAGGAUGGGUCUGCGGCCUAUCAGGUAGUAGUGGGUGUAGCGUACCUACUAGCCUACAACGGGUACGGGUUGUGAGAGCAAGAGCCCGGAGAUGGAUUCUGAGACACUAAUCCAGGCCCUACGGGGUGCAGCAGGCGCGAAAACUUUACAAUGCUGGGAACAGCGAUAAGGGAACCUCGAGUGCCAGGUUACAAAUCUGGCUGUCGUGAUGCCUAAAAAGCAUUAUAUAGCAAGGGCCGGGCAAGACCGGUGCCAGCCGCCGCGGUAACACCGGCGGCUCGAGUGGUAACCGUUAUUAUUGGGUCUAAAGGGUCUGUAGCCGGCCGGAUAAGUCUCUUGGGAAAUCUGGCAGCUUAACUGUCAGGCUUUCAGGGGAUACUGUCUGGCUCGAGGCCGGGAGAGGUGAGAGGUACUUCAGGGGUAGGGGUGAAAUCUUGUAAUCCUUGAAGGACCACCAGUGGCGAAGGCGUCUCACCAGAACGGACCUGACGGCAAGGGACGAAAGCUAGGGGCACGAACCGGAUUAGAUACCCGGGUAGUCCUAGCCGUAAACGAUACUCGCUAGGUGUCGGCCACGGUGCGACCGUUGUCGGUGCCGUAGGGAAGCCGUGAAGCGAGCCACCUGGGAAGUACGGCCGCAAGGCUGAAACUUAAAGGAAUUGGCGGGAA
rnacentral:rRNA from 1 species